rnacentral:lncRNA from 1 species
AAUGAUUUGCUUUUAUUCCAUUGGUGUUUUGCCUGCAUGUAUAUUUGUGUGAGGGAGUUAGAUCCCCUCAAACUGGAGUUGCAGACAGUUGUGAACACCCAUGUAGAUACUAAGAACUGAACCAGGGUCCUCUGAAGGGCAGCGAGUACUCUUAACUGCUGAGCCAUCUCUCCAGCCCCCAGAAAAGAUUUCUUAACAUACAAUGAGCCUGUUUAAAGAGCGUGAUGGCCCAGUCUAUACAUAUUUUAAGCCUGUGGGAUAGAUAAGGUACGUCAGUUUCUAUACAGGGAGCGGUCUAGGCACCAAACACAUGUGGAGGUGAUCUGAGGCAGAUUCCUGCAAAGGAUACGACAGCCGACUUCAAAUACGUUGUUGGUGCCAAUAAUCAUAGGUUUGGGCUCUGUAUCUUCAGAGUCUGGGAUGAUGUUAUCCGGAUGGCUAUAAAGAGAAGAGAUGAGACUCACCAAAGGCCAGUGACACGGUAAGCAGCUGCCAUCACCUUUUAGAAUCUGAUGUCUGAGUUCGAGGUCAGCCUGGUCACGAAGUGAGUUCCAGGACAGCCAGGGCUACAGAGAGAUCCUGUCUCAGAGAGAGAACUGGGACGGGGAAUCUAUCAGACCUCCUGAAGCUGAUGUCACUGGUGGGCGCGAGCUGCCCCAUGUGAGUGAAGAGGUGGGAACUCAAGGCCUACACAGGGACAAUAAGAGGUGCUAACUACCGAGCCAUUUCUCUAGCCUUCCCUUAUUUCUUAACCUCUAAGUUCAGAGGACAUGCUCCAGUGUAGGGAAUGCCAGGGCAGGAAGGCAGGAGUGGGUGGGUGGGUUGGGGAGCACCCUUAUAGAGGCAGGGGGGGAUGGAUGGAAGAGGGGGUUUCUAGAGGGGAGACCUGGAGAGGGGAUCACAUUUGAAAUGU